CAAAGGUUAAUGACCUUGAGAAACUUGAAAAUCAGAUUCAUGCUGUUGCCAAAAAGGAGUUUAAAUUAGGAGAUGGAGCUGCUAGGGAUUCAAAUUUUAGAAUAUCUGAUUUUCCGGUUGCUGCAUUUGGUUCUCGUGCUCAUCUUGAGGAGAAGGCUUUAGCAACAAGAAAGUGGCACCGCAAUUUUCUGAUGAAGGGCUUUCAUCUUGUUGUUCUCUUAACUGCUGGUCCCGGAAUUCGCGAUACACAGUGUGGUUUCAAGAUGUUCACCAGGGCUGCAGCAAGGAAACUUUUCACAAACAUCCGGCUGAAAAGAUGGUGCUUUGAUGUUGAGAUCGUUUAUCUAUGCAAAUGUUUCAGUAUCCCCAUGCUUGAAAUUUCUGUAAACUGGUCUGAAAUUCCUGGAUCCAAGGUGAAUCUAUUAAGCAUUCCCCACAUGCUUUGGGAGCUUGCAAUCAUGUCCUUA
rnacentral:misc_RNA from 1 species